CCUUUUAAGACUUGGGGAUGCCUGAAGGUCUUUCUUUUCCUUGGCCUUCGUUUACAGUACAAUUGGUCCUUUAUACAUUGUGUGUGGGAGGCUGGGGUAAGUUGAGGGAGGGGGAGCAUGCAGGCAGGUAUACAAACCCUAAUUCAGCUCUCUCCCAAGGUCAGGGUCCUGCACUCUGGGACUCUUCACUAGAACUUUGUAGAUGUUUCCAACAGUCCCAAAGACCUCACAUGUGGCCGCCGGAUCCCACACCUUAGUUCAUUCAUUCUGGCCCAGAAUAAGCACUUGGCCAUCUUCCCAGCCUCUGAGCCCCUAGGUCUUUCUCCUAUUCUUUACUAACUGUGGCCUUAGCCCUUGGUUAAAGACUUAGGCAGAAAAUACAUUUCCUUCAGGCAGUCUGACAGCUGGAGCCAAUGGGAAACGAGUAGCGUGCUGGAGAAGCCUGAUUCCUGGGCUGGGCUGGGCUGUGUGGUAGCGUGAGAGCAACGGCCACAACCAACGGCAGAAGGGGGACCCUUAAACAGCUGCACUUUGGGGCAUGAGGCAGAAAAUGUUUCUUUCUACCUGCUCCCCGAGGCAGGGACAAACAGCAGUGACUCUGGGUGACUGAAGAUGAAGUAAUUGCUGGGUUCUGAUUAGGAAUCUUGAGGAAGAUUGUGUUCUGCCCACGCACCAGCCUCCGAGUGGCUGAGGGUGCUGGAGGGAGAGGAUAAGGAGGGAGGUGGCCCCUGUCGGCUCUGAUAAGCAGGUGAGCUGCUGCUUUCUCCAUGGGGCUUCCCAGCCCGCUGUGGCUGGUUAGCCUAAGUCUGGUUCAGAGAUGCCAGCUGGGUGCUCUGGCAAUGCCAGAGCGUUGGCUCCAGUUAGCCAGGGCAUACAGGCUUUCCUCGUCCUGUCCUCUGCAGUGGCCACAGCACCCAGCUGUUCCUCUCUCUCAGAAGGCCGCCAGGCAGUCUCUCCGCAAAACCUCCAUAGAGACUAUCUUCAGUUCCAGGUCCUCUCCUCCUGGCUGAGCCCCAGGAAGACACCUUGGGCUGAGUUCGGGGUGACAUUGGGCUCCAGCUGCAGCGAACAGGCCCUCCUCGCCAGGAGACCACCCUUCAGUCUCUGCUUCACAGCUUGGACACCAGCCCCGAAGCAGGGAAAAGACAGAUGUACUAAUUGUCAUGGAUGGCAAACUGUGCCCCCAAACUUGUACCGAGCCUCAAAGCUUCGGUUUAAUACUCUUAAAGGAGUCAUAGACCCAAUGUGACAUUUUGCAUGCGGGAACCUCUUAUUAGCUACCUCCAAAUUAUAGAUGCUUCAUGAAUAGAGACACCUACAUUAUAUGAAGUUCUCUUCUGGGCUGUAAACUUUCUGAGACAGGUCUUCUGGGAAAUCGCUCUCUACAUUCCAGGACUGCAAUGCCUACUACAGACCCUUGCAUAUCGAUGUUUCUAAAAUAGCCGUCUUCCCAUGACAUUAUUUUCUGCUGGCCUAGAGGUCAGUUCCAGAGGGAGGAACGCUGCCACCAGGAGACACAACAACGAUUCCAUUAAACUGGAAGUUAAGAUUGCCACCUGGACACUUUGGGCUCUUCUUACCUUUAAGUCAACAGGCUAGUAAGGGAAUUACAGUGUUGGUUGGGGUGACUGACCCAGACUAUCAAGAUGAAAUCAGUCUACUACUCCACAAUGGAGGGAAGGAAGAGCAUUCGUGGAAUACAGGAGAUCCAUUAGGGCGUUUCUUAAUAUUACCAUGCCCUGUGAGUAAGGUCAAUGGAAACUACAACUGCCCAAUCCAGGCAGGACUACAAAUGACCCAGACCCUUCAGGAAUGAAGGUUUGGGUCACUCCCCCAGG